GGGAAAGGAGAUUGGAAGCCCCCUUAAGUCUCCUUACAGGAGAGAAAGAGGGGAUUUAAAUCAAACUCUUCUUCUUUUCCACAUGUGGGCAAACCAACUUUGCUUUAAAAAAGACGCUGAAGUAGAGCAGAGGAAACUGGAGUAGAGCAGAGGUAGAGUAGAGCUGAAGUAGAGCAGAGGAAAGUGUCACAUGGAUGCUCCAGACAGCCCUGCUUUGAUCUGUGGGGCAGGACAGUGCGAUAGUGUUCCACAUGGUGGUUUAUAGUGUGGGAAUCAUAUCCCAUUUUCAACCACAUAGGCAUAGCUAGGAAGAGAGUUAUGGUUUGUGCUUUGCAUGCCAAAGGCCCUGGCCACAAUCUGUCACCUUCGCAAUUUUUCCAAAAUGAUCCUGGAGCCAUGAGAAAAACUCUCUUUAGGAGACCCUGGACAGUUUCUGCCAAUCUGAAGAGACCCAAAUGAGCUGGAAGGCCCAAAAAUCUAGCUUAGCACAAGGCAUGUUCAAGAAAGAUGGGACUAUUGCAGUGAGAAAGGUGUGGGCACCAUCAAAAAUUUGGCUAAUUGCUUGGCGAGAUUAGUUGUGCAGACGGACAACUCCCUUUCUGUGAAACCUCUUGCAUCAUUUGAGAGUAAACCCUAUCAUUUUUUCUGUAGCCGUUUUCAAACGUUCAACCAAAUAACGGGCAUUUGUUGGUUGCCAGAAAGGACUCGGGUUUUUUAAAGCACAAAAGAUACAAUCUAAUAUGCAUGAAAUACGUACUUAUAGGAUACUUUUUAAAGAGAGAGAGAGAGAGAGAAAUUGCUGCCAGAUUUAGAUAACUUUGUGGGCCUUUCAGGUCAGUCUGAAACAGGUUGCAGACCGCUGGCUUAGCCCAAGGAAAGUAUUUUUAGGAUUGCACUGUUUGUAUGGUAGGUAUGCAGCCUUCUUAUUAUUGUGUGGCAGGGGUGGAGCGAGGGGAAACUGUGCCCAGGGCAUGCAUGCGCCCUGCGCCCCUGCUGCAGCGGCCAUGGCUCCGCCCAGGGCGCCGCCCGCCCCAUUGGCGCUACACCACUGUUGUGUGGUGGAAUUUCAGAAGUUGGCUGCAUUGCAGCAAUGCCUGAUCAAGGGCAAACGUGUAUGUGGAUUGGAUCCUACUUGUAAAAUUUCUCUCCUUCAGAAAUGGAGGGAAGUUGGACAGCAAUAUAGAGUGCCCAGCUUGCAUGCGCCAUCUUGGGUGCGAUGGCUGGGAGCAAGGGUGUGUCUUUCCCCUGCUGCAUGUAUUGCAAGAUCCACUGCACGCAUCGCAAGAACUGCAGCAUUUUUUUGUAUUGCACAAAAUGGCAGACAGGGUGCUGAAACACAGGGACUGAUACAGGGUCACAAUUUUUCGCUAUUACCAUGGUGUUGGGUUUGGUGGUUCUGUGCUGGCACAGAAGACAGGCCCCUCCCCAAAUGAUGUUUUGCGUGAUCACUUCUUCCUUCCCACCUACCUCAAGACUGUUCCCAUGUUACAUCUGACUUGAGGCAAGGGGGUAGCAUGAGGUCUUCAUUGUGGACACACAUCCUUGAAUGGCCUCUUUGUUAUGGGAGGGAGACAACAGGAUGUUAAUAUCCGCCGCCCCCACAAACGUAUAUUUGAAGUGCCCACCAAGAACUGCCAUUUCUGAUGUAUCUAACUGGGUAGCUAGUAGAAUUCCUCACAGAACCAGAUAACCCAGCAGUGUGACUUCACAUCAACUGUGGUACACAUGGACUGUUGCAUAGAGUGCUGGUUACACAUGUACAUCUGAGGUGAAGAUAGGGUUGCCAAUGCUGGCUUGGUACAUUCCUAGAGAUUUGGUCAGAGGGCAAAGCUGGAAGAGGGAGUUCAGUAGGGAUGAGAUGCUGUAGAGCCUGCCAUCCUAAGCCGCCAUUUCCUGUAGAUGAAUUGAUCUCUGUAAUCCGAAGAUCAGUAUGACGAUCAGUUUCAGGAGGCCAGGCCCCGCCUUUGGUCUGGUGACCCAAAGUCAGAGGUAGAACCUCCACACUUUAGCAGACUUUUCAUUUGGCAACUCUGGAGUCACAACUAGGGCUUUUUCCACACGAGUCCCUGGAAACAUUUGCAAAACAUUUUUGAUUCCCCCUAUUUGUCCACACUUAUCCUCUUGAAGUGAUUUCAGGCAGCCAUUUUGUCUGCACUUAUCCUCUUGAAGUGAUUUCAGGCAGCCAUUUUGUCUGCACUUAUCCUCUUGAAGUGAUUCCGGGCAGCCAUUUUGUCCGCACGUAUCCUCUUGAAGUGAUUCCGGGCAGCCAUUUUGUGUGUCUUUUGUUUUUGAAAAUCCUCUGUGUAUUCGAUGCUUCGUUCCUCUCUAGGGGUUAUAUCAGCACUGCCAUCUUGCCUCCCACUUGGAGGAGAGGCCAGCCAGAGUAAGGAGCAUGUAAUCCUUGGCCUGAUAGGCAUACCCACAUAAGAAUGCACUCCCCAGAGUCCUUGGGAUGAUUUCUCAACCUACAUCCCAUGUUUGUUUUGUGAAAUCAUAGGUUGUGCCUGCCUCACUUCUCAGAUUUUGAGAAGCCAUCUUUGGUCAAGUAGUACGAAGGCCCCAAGAAGCCAGAGCAGCAGCAAUACCCCCGCCCCCGCAUACUUCAGAAGAAGAGAUUGAAAGCUGGUAUAUAUAUAUUUUUCUCUUUACUAUUGGUAUACACAAAAUACAUUUGGGUAGAGACAAAACACAUUUAACAGGACAUCCCUUACCAAAGCCAACCUGCGUGUUCAGAACCAGCACAUGGUAGACUCUGCCAGCAAUGCAUUUAGCGUGCUCUAUUGCGUAACUGAAUCCCUGCACUUUGAAAACUAGCUCAUCAAGGAGGAGCCAGGAUAGGGUUUUUUUUUCAUGUUCUAAUUGUCCCCAUGCAGGGCAUUUUCAAUACAAAAGAGAAUUCCAUCGUGUACGUACAUAGAUUGGAAACCUGAUAUUUUUGACAUGCUAACAUUGUACUCAGUUUCACCGGGUUGCCAACUUUGGUCCGCUGUGGAACAGCUCUAAACCAUAUUCACACACUUCCCAUGGGAACACAGAUAGAAUCCCAGGGCAUUUUUCUGGUAUAGUCAAGCAAUAUUUCAAUUCCCGCUCCAAUAACAGUGACAGGAUCCAAUCCCCCUGUAACCAUAGACCCCUGGUUGUGUGUAAUGACAAGAGGCAGCCAAUGGGAAUGUGCCUCCCAUAGGUUCAGUGGGACCUGAAUGAGCAUUACAAUUUAGGCAAAGCUGUAACCCAUAGAUGCAUAUUGACUCGUGGGCAUUUUGACUGGCAAAGAUGACUGUUUGCAUAUGUGGGUCUCAUUUUCUUGGUCAGAGCAACGGCUGAAGAACUUCCCCUAAAGUCUCAAGAUCCAGCCUUUAGGUGAACGUUGAGAUUCAGGGAAGGUGGAUCUUUGUCACUUACAAUUAUUCUUUUGCAAAAUAGAACUAUCCGGCAGCAGUUGCCCGAAACUAUAUUGUGGUCGAUCUUGUGAACCGAUUACUAAACUGUAACCUACGUUGUGUAAUAUAUAAUAGACUUUUGUAUGGACAUAACAAUGCAGCUAUAGGUGCACUAUAAUCCUUAUCGUGACUGAAAAACAAUGUAUAAGGUAGUAUAAAUGAAAAUAACGAUGAACAUAUUGGUAUUUCUUUUUGUAUUUAUACCUUAUAAAUAAAAUGGUUAUAUGCUCCAUUAAAGGAUACUGCAAAAAAAAAAUUAAAGGAAAUUAUCAUACAGAA